rnacentral:misc_RNA from 1 species
GGAUGAAGAACGCAGCGAAAUGCGAUAAGUAAUGUGAAUUGCAGAAUUCAGUGAAUCAUCGAAUCUUUGAACGCAUCUUGCGCUCCUUGGUAUUCUGAGGAGCAUGCCUGUUUGAGUGUCAUUAAAUUCUCAACUACACUGACUUUGAAUUGGUGUGGCUUGGAUUUGGGGGGAAAAUUGUUGUGGGCUUUUUGUAUAGUCUGCUCCCCUGAAAUUGAUUAGCGGUACCUUUGUGGAACUGUCUACAGGUGUGAUAAUUAUCUACAUCUUAGACAUCUGCUGGAAUGCUGCUUUCUAAACCUUACUUGUAUUGACAAUCUUGACCUCAAAUCAGGUAGGACUACCCGCUGAACUUAAGCAUAUCAAUAAGCGGAGGA